GUCCUGCUAGCUCAGUGGUAGAGCGUAUCUCUCCUAAUCCGUACUUCUUACCCCAGGAAAGAUGAAGUCGUGGGUUCGACCCCCACGUGGGACU